rnacentral:rRNA from 1 species
GUGCCAGCAGCCGCGGUAAUACGUAGGGGCCGAGCGUUGGCCGGAGUUACUGGGCGUAAAGCGCGCGCAGGCGGCCCCGCGCGCCCGGCGUGAAAGCCCCCGGCUCAACCGGGGAGGGUCGUCGGGGACGGCGGGGCUUGAGGGCGGCAGGGGUUGGUGGAAUGCCCGGUGUAGUGGUGAAAUGCGUAGAGAUCGGGCGGAACACCCGUGGCGAAGGCGGCCAACUGGGCCGACCCUGACGCUGAGGCGCGAAGGCGUGGGGAGCGAACGGGAUUAGAUACCCCGGUAGUCCACGCAGUAAACGAUGCCGACUAGGCGUGGGGGGACUUGACCCCCUCCGUGCCGGAGCUAACGCGGUAAGUCGGCCGCCUGGGGAGUACGGCCGCAAGGCUAAA